UUAGGUGUAGGCGCAGCGAAAGCGAGUCUGAAUAGGGCGUUCAGGCGCAGUUAGUAGACCCGAAACCAGAUGAGCUAGCCAUGGCCAGGAUGAAGCUUCCGUAACAGGAAGUGGAGGUCCGAACCCGUUGACGUUGAAAAGUCUUGGGAUGAGCUGUGGUUAGGAGUGAAAAGCUAACCGAAUCUGGAGAUAGCUGGUUCUCCCCGAAAUAGCUUUAGGG
rnacentral:rRNA from 1 species